GACUCAAAUAAAUAGGCAAAAGAGUCGUUAUAUUACACAAUAAUCUUCUUUCAUCAAUUCUCAAUUCUCAAUUCUCACAUAUCUGUAUUAAAAACGAAAAUGGAAUUUAGAGUUUUGGAGAAAUAGAUAAACAACGGCGAAGAGGCAGCAUGGCAAAGGCUCAGCUACUGCGAGUGUAGAUUUGAAGGGGUUAGAUAUUAGUGUUUAGGAGUAGAUAUGUAUAUAUGUUGAAAAUAGUUGGGCCUUUAAUUAUUACCAGCAAAAUGUGAACUUUGGUCCUUAUACUAUUGAGUAUUGACAAAUCAUUAUCAUUUAUUCUUUUUAGUUGUCAUA